AUUAGCUAGAUGGUGAGGUACACGGCCCAGCCAGGCAACGAUGCGUAGCCGGUCUGAAAGGAUGCGACCGCCUACAUUGGGACUGAGACACGGCCCACACUCCUACGGGAGUGCAGCACUACGGAAUUUUCCGCGAUGGGGGAAACCCUGACACGACGCAACGACCGCGUGAGCGAACAACGCCUAUCGGGUCAUAAAGCUCUGUUGUAUACAGCGAAGAACGUCAACAUGCACCGAAAUGGUCGUGCGAGUGACGGUACUUUACCACAAAGCCACGAGCUAACGUACGCUAGCCAGCAGCCGUAGGUAAUAGGUAGCUGGCGAGCUUUAUCAUGGAAUCAUUGGGAGUAAAGAGGGAGCAGGCGGCCGCAAGGGUACUGUGGUGAAAGACCGAAGCUAAAAUUGUGUAACUCAUGGAAACCGGGCGGCUCGAGUGGGGAUGAGGAUCGGUGAUUUCCAUGCGUGGCGGUGUAAUGCGUAGAUAUAUUGAGGAACUCCAGUGGUGAAGGCGAUGGUCUGGGCAGUCCACUGACGCUCUUUCCGAUAAGGGUGGGGAGUAAAUAGGAUUAUAUACCCUAGUAGUCCACGCCGUAAACGAUGGUCUUUAAGUGUCGGGGGUCAUACCCCGGUGCUGCAGUCAUCGCAAUAAGUGACCCGCCUGAGUAGUACGUUCGCAAGAAGGAAAGUCAAAGGAAGGGACGUGGGCCUGCGCAAGCGGUGGUAGUCAUGUGGUUUAAUUCGAAGCAACGUGAAGAACCUUUUCAUGACUUGACAUGCGUCUAAGGAUGUAGAGAUACAUUAGGUGCCAUUAGGGGAAAGCUGAGACAGGUGGUGCAUUGUGGUCGUCAGCUCGGGUCGUGAGAGGUUGGUCUAAGUCUCGCAUCGAGUGCAACUCGUAGUGUUAGUUGGUAGGAAAGAGCCCUCUAGCGAGAUUACCGGUGGCUAAAUGUAGGAAGGCGGGGGUGUUGUCAAAUCAUCAUGCCCGUUAUGUGGUGGGAUACGCACGUAAUGCAAUGGGGAAAACAGAGGGAAGCAAAGCCGCGAGGCAGAGCAAAACCAUAUAAAGCCAUCUCAGUUUGGAUUGCAGGGGGCAACUUGCGUGCAAGAAGAUGGAAUUGCUAGUAAUCGCGGAUCAGAAUGCAGCGGUGAAUAAGUUCCCGGCCUUAGUACACACCGCCCGUCA
rnacentral:rRNA from 1 species